rnacentral:lncRNA from 1 species
UUUAAACGUGCAAACCGCCGCCACCUACCUCCAGUCAUGGGACGACUCCUCCGCCACCACCUAACUAAACCCCACAUUUGCACCACCGUUCUACGCCGCUUCUGCUCCGAGCCCCACUCCUCUACACCACCAUCACCGCCAUCAUCAACCACCUCCUCUACCAUCCCUCAAAUAAUCUCUCUCCUACAGAACACUGACCCCAACGACUGGCCCAACAAACCCGAACUCUCCACCCUCCUCUCCUCUCUCACUCCUCUGUCACACCUCAAACUCGCCCGCCAGUUGCCCAAUUCCCAAAUUGUGCUUAAAUUGUUUCAAAAUUUCAAAUCCACCUUUCCGCAACCCAACUCCACCACGUCCCUCUCCUUCAUAUUCCAAGCCGUUUUUGAGCACGCACUGCGCGAGCAUUCUGAUUCGGCAAGCAAGCUUUACGAGCUUUUUAUUCUAUCGAAAAAUGAAAAAAUUCCGCUCACAAUCAACGCCGCCACCCUCCUCAUCAAACGCUUUGGUCAGGCCGGAAUGGUUCAAGAAUUCGUCCAAGUUAAUGAUGCACUUGAUCCCGAUUCGAGAAACACCCAUGUGGUGAAUUCACUUAUUGACGCGCUGCUGAAAUCUGGGCGGAUUGAUGACGCACUGAAGCUGCUCGACGAAAUGCUGAAGCAGGAUACGGGAUACCCACCUAAUAAUAAUACCGUUGAUAUUGUUUUUACCGCAAUAUUAAAGAGGGAAUGGGUUGGAAGGGAUGUGAACGUGGAGGAAAUUUAUAAGCUCAUUUUGAAUUUUAGUGAACAUGGGAUUUUUGUAAAUAGUUUUUGGCUAACACAAAUAAUUACGAAGUUUUGUAGGACCGGACAGUGUGGCAAGGCAUGGGACCUCUUGCAUGAGAUAAUGAGUUUAGGGGGAGAUGUAGAGACGGCUUCUUGUAAUGCCCUUUUGACAGGGUUGGGAAAAGAACGUGAUUUUGUGAAAAUGAAUUUGCUUAUGGAGGAAAUGAAGGAAAAGGGAAUUCCACCGAAUGUCGUCACAUUUGGGAUUUUGAUUAAUCAUUUAUGUAAGUUUUAUAGGGUCGAUCAGGCUUUGGAAGCAUUUGAGAAGAUAAAAGAUGGAGACUUCAGAAUUGAGCCUGAUGUUGUGCUUUAUAAUACAUUGAUUGAUGGUUUAUGUAAAGUUGGGAGGCAGGAGGAGGGUUUGAAGUUAAUGGAGAGGAUGAAGUUGGAGAGUAAGUGCAAGCCAAACACGAUUACUUAUAAUUGUUUGAUUGAUGGGUUUUGUAAAUCGGGUGAGAUUGAGAGGGGGCACGAGCUAUUUGAGCUGAUGAACAAGGAUGGAGUGGAAUUAAAUGUGGUUACGCUUAAUACAUUGCUUGAUGGGAUGUGUAAGCACGGGAGAGUUAGUAGUGCGGUGGAACUUUUCAGCAAAAUGAAAGAGAAAGGUUUGAAAGCAAAUGCGAUUACUUACACUAUCUUGAUUACUUCUUUUUGCAGUGCAAACAAUACCGACAAGGCCAUUAAGUUGUUUGAAGAAAUGUUAGAAAGUGGUCUCUCCCCGGAUGCACUUGUGUACAACAGCUUGAUAUCGGGCCUUAGCCAGGCUGGAAGAAUGGAUGAUGCUAGCAUCAUUGUGUCAAAGAUGAAAGCAGUUGGGUACUACUUGGAUGUUCUGAGUUACAAUAUUCUAAUUAGUGGAUUUUGCAGGAAGAAUAAAAUGGAUAAAGUUUCUGAGACGCUUAAAGAUAUGGAGCAUGCAGGGGUGAAGCCAGACCGUGUCACGUAUAACACUGUGAUUUCAUACUUUUGCUCAAAAGGAGAUUUCGGGCACGCCCAUAGAGCUAUGCAGAAGAUGAUCAGUGAUGGUUUAGUGCCUAACAUCGUUACUUAUGGAGCAUUGAUUCAUGCUUAUUGCGUGGUUGGUAAAAUUGAUGAUGCUAUGAAAAUAUUCGGAGACAUGAGUUCUUCUUCAAAGGUGCCACCUAACACUGUUAUAUACAACAUGUUGAUUGACUCUCUGUGCAAAAAUAAUAAAGAAGAAGCUGCUCUUUCUUUAAUGAUUGACAUGAAGGAAAGAGGGGUUAGGCCAAAUACCACUACAUUUAAUGCCAUAUUCAAAGGCCUCCGACAGAGGAAUUGGUUGGAUAAAGCAUUGAAAAUGAUGGAUCAAAUGACUGAACAGGCUUGUAAUCCAGAUUAUAUUACAAUGGAAAUCCUUACUGAAUGGCUUUCUGCUGUUGGUGAAACAGAAAAAUUGCGAGCCUUUGUGAAGGGUUACGAGGUUUCUGCUUCAACUGCGUAGGAGGGUUGUAGCAUGUAAGAAAAAUCCCUCGUUCUUUUGCACCUCAUAGAGGAGAUGAAGAAAUGUGCCAUAUUCACCAGCAGACUGAUUCAUACACACCGAGUUCAGAUUCCAUUUGACAUGCAAAGUGAACAAGACUCUCUGUUCUUAUGGCCAAUUUGAAGGGAAGUAGUCAAUAUUCCCUGCUCAAUGGUUUGUCACAACAGUUUCCCAUACUCUUUAACUUUAAGAGCAGCGGUUUACUGGUGGUGAGAAGCACGCUCGAACUAUCUUUUUACAAUGUUGUGUAGUAAGAUUAUUUUAGGGGAAUAUCUAUCUUGCAAUUUGUUCUUACCCUGUUGCUUUUAGAGAUCCACUAAUCAUCUUUUAUUGUUUGAUGUGUGGUGCAACAAGUUAACUGAGAAACUGUCACUGGCCUUUCGUCCUUUACAAAUCCUAUUCCUUUCCUAGUUCAACGUACUUGAACACCUGUUGAUUUCUUUUUUCAGGUCUUGGAAUAAGUUGUCAGCGAAGUUCUAGUAUUUACCUACACGAGGGGUUGGACAAUCACUUUUAGAUACCGGCCUGGAGAACAAAACUAAGGCUAGCUUGAAAGAGUCUAGGUCGGUCAACCUGUUUCGAUUUACUUUUUUGAGCCUGUUCGUGUUGAAUAAGAUAAGAUAGCAUCGGUUUUGGCAUAUACUUUUCACAUAUUCAUUUCUUAGGUCUAAGUUGUGUUGUAAACUUCGAUAUUGUGUGCGCUAAAUUUGUUAGGACCCAUUUGUACGACUUUUGAAAAGCUAAUGAAUGUAUUUCUUGUAAUUAUGUUUUUAGAGAAAGUUAAUCCAAU